rnacentral:rRNA from 1 species
GACGAACGCUGGCGGCGUGCCUAAUACAUGCAAGUUGAGCGCUGAAGGUUGGUACUUGUACCAACUGGAUGAGCAGCGAACGGGUGAGUAACGCGUGGGGAAUCUGCCUUUGAGCGGGGGACAACAUUUGGAAACGAAUGCUAAUACCGCAUAAAAACUUUAAACACAAGUUUUAAGUUUGAAAGAUGCAAUUGCAUCACUCAAAGAUGAUCCCACGUUGUAUUAGCUAGUUGGUGAGGUAAAGGCUCACCAAGGCGAUGAUACAUAGCCGACCUGAGAGGGUGAUCGGCCACAUUGGGACUGAGACACGGCCCAAACUCCUACGGGAGGCAGCAGUAGGGAAUCUUCGGCAAUGGACGAAAGUCUGACCGAGCAACGCCGCGUGAGUGAAGAAGGUUUUCGGAUCGUAAAACUCUGUUGGUAGAGAAGAACGUUGGUGAGAGUGGAAAGCUCAUCAAGUGACGGUAACUACCCAGAAAGGGACGGCUAACUACGUGCCAGCAGCCGCGGUAAUACGUAAGUCCCGAGCGUUGUCCGGAUUUAUUGGGCGUAAAGCGAGUGCAGGUGGUUUAUUAAGUCUGGUGUAAAAGGCAGUGGCUCAACCAUUGUAUGCAUUGGAAACUGGUAGACUUGAGUGCAGGAGAGGAGAGUGGAAUUCCAUGUGUAGCGGUGAAAUGCGUAGAUAUAUGGAGGAACACCGGUGGCGAAAGCGGCUCUCUGGCCUGUAACUGACACUGAGGCUCGAAAGCGUGGGGAGCAAACAGGAUUAGAUACCCUGGUAGUCCAAGGGCGAAUUCCACAUUGGGCUGCAGCCCGGGGGAUCCACUAGUUCUAGAGCGGCCGCACCGCGGAGCUCCC